rnacentral:rRNA from 1 species
CCUACGGGAGGCAGCAGUAGGGAAUCUUCGGCAAUGGACGAAAGUCUGACCGAGCAACGCCGCGUGAGUGAAGAAGGUUUUCGGAUCGUAAAACUCUGUUGUUAGAGAAGAACGUUGUGUAGAGUGGAAAAUUACACAAGUGACGGUAUCUAACCAGAAAGGGACGGCUAACUACGUGCCAGCAGCCGCGGUAA